GACAGAGGGUGCAAACGUUGCUCGGAAUCACUGGGCGUAAAGGGCGUGUAGGCGGGAAGGAUAGUCAGAUGUGAAAUCCCUGGGCUCAACCCAGGAACUGCAUUUGAAACUCCCUUUCUUGAGUGUCGGAGAGGAAAGCGGAAUUCCUGGUGUAGAGGUGAAAUUCGUAGAUAUCAGGAGGAACACCGGUGGCGAAGGCGGCUUUCUGGACGACAACUGACGCUGAGACGCGAAAGCGUGGGGAGCAAACAGG
rnacentral:rRNA from 1 species